GGGCCCGCACAAGCGGAGGAGCAUGUGGUUUAAUUCGAUGAUACGCGAGGAACCUUACCUGGGCUCGAACGUGGAAUGACAGUUGCGGAAACGUGAUUUUCUUCGGACAUUCUACGAGGUGCUGCAUGGUUGUCGUCAGCUCGUGCCGUGAGGUGUCGGGUUAAGUCCCAUAACGAGCGCAACCCCUAUCUUUAGUUGCCAUCAGGUUAAGCUGGGGACUCUAAAGAAACUGCCUACGCAAGUAGUGAGGAAGGCGGGGAUGACGUCAAAUCAGCACGGCCCUUACGUCCAGGGCUACACACGUGCUACAAUGGCCGGUACAGAGGGCAGCUACUGGGUGACCAGAUGCAAAUCUCCAAAGCCGGUCUCAGUUCGGAUCGAAGUCUGAAACUCGACUUCGUGAAGUUGGAUUCGCUAGUAAUCGCGCAUCAGCCAUGGCGCGGUGAAUACGUUCCCGGGCCUU
rnacentral:rRNA from 1 species